rnacentral:lncRNA from 1 species
GGCAUUUAAUUUUUUUUUAUUUUUUUUUAAUUUGCACAUGUCAUUUUUAUUAUUAAAUAAACUAAAAAUUAAAAAAAAUAAUAAUAAAUUCUUUUCUAAUUUCCCCUUCAUCCCUACCACGAUAACUUUCAUCAUUCAACAAGAACAACAAUAUCAACACCACCAAGAACAACAACAACAUCAAUAAAAUCAUCAACACCACCAAGAACAACAAUCCAAAAAGAACCCAAUUUUUUUUCUUCCAAAAAUCAAUCUCGGUAAACCCAGAAACAUAAUCAUAAAUUUCUUUUGUUCUUCUAUUCUUCAUCCCUUUGCAACAACCCAAUUUCUUCCUAACUCAAAAACAUAAUUCUUCUUCCCAAUUCUUCAUCCCAUCAAUUCAAUCCCUAACCCAUAAAUUCAAAAAACCCAGUUUCUGCCUUUAUAGGAAAUCCGGUUCCUAGUUCCUGCCUUUGUUCUUCAUCAAUCAUUUGUUUCGACGAAUUUGGCGGAGUGAUUCGGCGGAUUUCUAGGUUUUAUUUUAGAGAAAAAGGAUUCUGGGAUUCUGAGUUUGUGUUGGAGAAAAAAUAAUUUUGGGUUUUGAGAAGAAGAAUGAGAAGGAGAAAGAUUUGUGUUAUGUUACAGGAAAAGAUUGUGAGUUUUUUUUUUUUUUUUUUUUUUUUUUUUUUUUUUUUGCAUUAGAAACAAUGGAUUAACAUAUCUUUUUGAAUUAACAUAUUUUAUUUUUAAUAAUUUUUUUUUGACACAAUAUUUUUUAUUUUUUUAAAAACUAAUUAAGUGAAAUUUUUUAAAUAUUUGUCACCAAUUUAUUUAAUAAUAAAAAUGACAUGUGCAAAUUAAAAAAAUAAAAAUGAAAUAAAUGCCACAUAUGCAUGUCACCUCAUAAAAAAAUAAAGAUUCUAUGCCAAGUUGUCAAGCAGGGGGUAAAAAGAGAGAAUCUUCAUAUUGCAGGGGGUAAUCCCAAGUUUUUUUUUUUUGCAGGGGGUAAUGCAAAAUUGGCUUAUUUUGCAGUGGGUAAAACCCUAUUUACCCUAA